UUCGUGUUCCAUAACGACAAUAGUUUCUUUGGCUGAAACAUCCUGUCCAGAGGGUUACAAUAAAACACUUUGCACUUGAAUUGUUUGCCUUCCUGACCCCUCAGCUUUCUGCCAGCUUCUGACUGUGCCUGCAACUCCAAAGCUCUGCAGCCAUCCCUACCAGCAACAGCAAGUUCCUGCUCCUGUCAGUUAAAAGCCUGUUUACCUUUGAACUCAGUGGGAACAAGAACCGGGCCCUUGUGCAACUGUGGGAAAUAAUUGACUGCAGUAACAUUUCCAUCAGCCCUGUGAGUUGAUUUGAACCAGAUUACUCAGGAAACUCAAAAGCCCGAUGCGAGGUUUUUAUGAUGGAUUUUUCCAAGGCAAAAAAUCCAUGGACUGGCUUCAUACCACCAGCACAGUUUAGGUAAAUGAAUGCAUUUAAGAGGACAGAUACUAAUUUUUACAUCAAUUUGUACUGACACACCCAGAAAUACGUACAA